rnacentral:rRNA from 1 species
UACGUAGGGGGCGAGCGUUGUCCGGAUUUAUUGGGCGUAAAGAGCGUGUAGGCGGCCAGGUAGGUCUGCUGUGAAAACUCGAGGCUCAACCUCGAGACGUCGGCGGAAACCAUCUGGCUAGAGUCCGGAAGAGGAGAGUGGAAUUCCUGGUGUAGCGGUGAAAUGCGCAGAUAUCAGGAGGAACACCGAUGGCGAAGGCAGGUCUCUGGGCCAUAACUGACGCUGAGAAGCGAAAGCAUGGGGAGCGAACAGG